rnacentral:rRNA from 1 species
GUGGGGAAUAUUGGGCAAUGGGCGAAAGCCUGACCCAGCAACGCCGCGUGAAGGAAGAAGGUUUUCGGAUCGUAAACUUCUAUCCUAGGUGAAGAUAAUGACGGUAGCCUAGAAGGAAGCCCCGGCUAACUACGUGCCAGCAGCCGCGGUAAUACGUAGGGGGCAAGCGUUGUCCGGAAUGAUUGGGCGUAAAGGGCGCGUAGGCGGCCUGGUAAGUCUGGAGUGAAAGUCCUGCUUUUAAGGUGGGAAUUGCUUUGGAUACUGUCGGGCUUGGGUGCAGGAGAGGUAAGUGGAAUUCCCGGUGUAGCGGUGAAAUGCGUAGAGAUCGGGAGGAACACCAGUGGCGAAGGCGACUUACUGGACUGUAACUGACGCUGAGGCGCGAAAGUGUGGGGAGCAAACAGGAUUAGAAACCCGUGUAGUCC